rnacentral:rRNA from 1 species
GUGAGGAAUAUUGCGCAAUGGAGGCAACUCUGACGCAGCCAUGCCGCGUGCAGGAAGAAGGCGCUACGCGUUGUAAACUGCUUUUAACCGGGAAGAAACCCCAGGACGUGUCCUGGGUUGACGGUACCGGAGGAAUAAGCACCGGCUAACUUCGUGCCAGCAGCCGCUGUAAUACGAAGGGUGCAAGCGUUAUCCGGAUUCAUUGGGUUUAAAGGGUGCGUAGGCGGAGCGUUAAGUCAGUGGUGAAAUCCUGCAGCUUAACUGUAGACUUGCCAUUGAUACUGGCGCUCUUGAGUGCGCUUGAAGUGGGCGGAAUGUGCCGUGUAGCGGUGAAAUGCUUAGAUAUGGCACAGAACACCAAUUGCGAAGGCAGCUCACUAAGGCGAUACUGACGCUGAGGCACGAAAGCGUGGGGAUCGAACAGGAUUAGAAACCCGGGUAGUCC